UUUUUGGGCCUGAUUACUACUUCACCCGUUAGGCCCAUUACUUCCGCCGCAGGAGCUGCCGCGAGCAAUCGAUGGCGAUCGCCGCCGCUCGCCGGCGCCUGUGCCGCGGGAUUGGGACCGCGGCGGUCUCGGGGACGGACGGCACGCUGCUCGCUCGCCUGGUUUCGGAGCCGGAGUGCCGCGUGAAGGCGACCAUGGAGGAGGCUGCUUCCUCGGCGCCGCACCGCGACGGCGCCUUCUGGGAGCCCCUCGCCGCCGCGCUACUCCGGGCGUCCUCUCCGGCCAAGGCGCACCUCGUCUUGGAGUGGAAGCUAGAUAAGCUACUGAAGGAAGGGAGUCAUGAUUGCGAGCCCUACUCAACGAUAAUCCGUUUAUGCGGGGAGACAAGGAAUGCAGCACUUGCAAUGAGAGUCUUUGAAUCCAUGGAGGCGCAGGAAAUUCAGCUGAACACUGGCAUUUUAAAUGCCCUUGUUAAUGCUUUCUUGUCAAUCAGAGAUCUUCUUUCUGCAAUGACAUUGUAUGAGGCUAUGGAAGGCAUGGAGGACUGCAAGCCUGAUUCCACUACAUAUGGUGCAUUUAUAUCUGCAUUUUCACUGCUCGGAAGUGGCCAUGCGAUGAUGAGCUGGUACUUAGCUGCAAAGAAUGCAGGGUUUACUCUAAGUAUUCAAGCUUUUGAGUCUUUGAUCACAGGAUUUGUUAGGUUGAACAUGCUAGAUGAGGCUGAGACGGUGUUUGAGGAAAUGAUUUCCUUCGAAAUUAAGCCAAACUUAGCUAUUUUGGAGGCCAAGCUUCAGGUGCUUUCUAGAAGGAAGGAGGCCAACAUGGUAAGGGAUUUUUUAAAAUACGUGAUUGAUGGCAAUUGGGAGCUGAAUGAAGCUACAGUCGAGAGGUUAACAAGAUUAUGCUUGGAUGGAGGUCAAGUUGAUGAAAUGGAGCAGCUGCUUGCCCUAGUACAAAAGGGAGUGCACUUGAGCUCCGUAGCACAACUGCACUGUGGAAUUAUCAAGUUCUAUGCUAAGGCAGAUCGCUUGGCAGAUAUGGAGCACGCGAUUUGCCGGAUGUUGGACAAUUGUGUGAUGUUUGUGUGCCCAGAGGAUGUCGAGGUCAUAAUCUGUUCUUAUUUUCGUCACAAGGACUUUGAUAGGUUGGAUUUGUUCUUACACCGCAUCCAAUGUUUGUUCAAGCUCACCAGGUCUACUUAUGACAUAUUGGUUGCUGGAUAUAGGAGGUUUGAUUUACACGAAAGACUUGAUUCAACCAUAAAAGAUAUGAGGGAAGCUGGAUUUGCAUGAGUUGUCGAUGAAUUAUGUAUGCACAAUUGCACAUUGACUCCCUACAUUAAUAUUUCCAGAAGCCAUAAGUGCAUCGAUCCAGCAAAAUGGAAUCUUUUGGCAAGUUCCUUGUUUGACAUGGAAAUUUCUCAGACAUGGAUGAAGUAUCAUGUCACAUAAUUGAUGCUGCUUUUGUGCAUAUGAGAAUCAUGAAGUUACGUGAUGUUGUGCUUGGUACUGCACAAAUAUCUAUUUAGCCAAGGUUCUACCAAUCUUCAGAGGCCUCUCAGGUUGCUGAAGAUGUUACUUAGAAAGAAAAUCAAUGGGAGGUGAAUCCUUAUAGCUACCUGACAUGUCAUUUAGGUCCCAGGUUCAUUCAAAUCCUUUGUUGGAACUUCAACUUUGCAUCAUGAUCGGAUAGUCAACAGUGCAACAUGCACCAAAUACCAAUGUCCAUUGGAUAAUAUUCUUUCAAUUACUCCUUAAUCAAAGUAAUUCCGCUAUUUUUGUCAUUAUUUUGUAUUAUGUGGGGAUCUAUUAUCUUAAUAUUUGAGAGUUAGAAGGAGUCUCCACG